GACGAACGCUGGCGGCGUGCUUAACACAUGCAAGUCGAACGGAAAGGCCUGCUUUCCCUUGUGGUUUGCGGGUCCUCGAGUGGCUAACGGGCGAGUAACACGUGAGUGAUCUGCCCCCAACUUGGUUAUAAGCCUGGGAAACUGGACCUAAUUCUCUAUAGGACUGCAGGGUUGUGUCUUUGGUGGAAAAUUAUCUUCUACUGGUAGGGGAUGAGCCCGCGGCUUAUCAGCUUGUUGGUGGGGGAAUGGCCUACCAAGGCGGCGACGGGUAGCCGGCCUGGGAGGGGGGACGGUGACAUUGAGACUGGGUCACGACCCAGACGGGUGCGAGCGGUAGCGGUGGGGCAGCAUGGACCGAGAGCGGGAGGGUGAUGCGGCGAGGGCGUGAGGGAGAUGACGGGCUUGGGGUUGUAAGCUACUUGCGACGGCGAGGAAGGCAAGUGGUUGGAAGGGUGGUGACGGUAGUGGUAGAAGAAGCACCGGCUAACUACGUG
rnacentral:rRNA from 1 species